CUUUAAACCUGAUAGGCGUGAAAAUACUUUUUGUUGCAGGUAUUCUACAGACUCAGACUAACAUUCACAAAAAGAUUGUAACAAAUAGCGGGACUAACA
rnacentral:sRNA from 1 species